rnacentral:rRNA from 1 species
UGGGGGAUAUUGCACAAUGGGCGAAAGCCUGAUGCAGCGACGCCGCGUGGGGGAUGAAGGCCUUCGGGUUGUAAACUUCUUUUGCUCUGAACAAGGCAUGCCUUUGGGGUGUGUUGAGUGUAGGGGUUGAUUAGCGCCGGCUAACUACGUGCCAGCAGCCGCGGUAAUACGUAGGGCGCGAGCGUUGUCCGGAACUAUUGGGCGUAAAGGGCUUGUAGGUGGCUGGUUGCGUCUGUCGUGAAAGCUCAUGGCUUAACUGUGGGUUUGCGGUGGGUACGGGCUGGCUUGAGUGCAGUAGGGGAGGCUGGAAUUCCUGGUGUAGCGGUGGAAUGCGCAGAUAUCAGGAGGAAUACCGGUGGCGAAGGCGGGUCUCUGGGCUGUUACUGACGCUGAGGAGCGAAAGCGUGGGGAGCGAACAGG